AGAUCAGGGUUGUUUGCAGGUCCCAUUUUACAGAGUCUGAUCGCCUGUGCCUGGUUUCCAUUUCCUGUCACAGGACUCAGCAAACUUUGGGGGAGUUGUUGCCAGACCUGGGCUUGCUCCCGUAUAAAUUCCUGAAGACUCAUUUGCUGUUAAACCUAUCAGGCUUUCUAUCUAAGCAUUAGAGUCUGUGCUUUUCAAGGGUGGGAAUGAGAGACUGGUGAGAGCACUCUGGGAGCAGAGAACAUGGAGUCUGCUUGAAAACCCCCAGACUCACCAUGAGGGAGUGUGUCUGCUGGUGAGUGUUCCGCUAAGAUCUGGACUAAUAACAUCUGAGAUCAUCCAGAGCCUCCUCCCCUGGGUGAAUUCCCCAACAGAAAACAGCCAAGUCACCAGCACAGCUUUCCUUGCCCAGGUCCUAGCACAAUGGGAAUCUGGUCUGUGACUGGGACUAUGAGGCAGUACUGGAAUACAAAUAAUCACAUGCUGAUCUACAGAAAUACUUUUGUACCCUGGCCAUCCCCACUGGCUUAAGAGAUUAGUCACUGAAAAUGGAAGUAAGUGACCUUGACAUCUGCAGUUUAACUCAGUCCCUUCAUCUCCUGCACUGAGUGUUCUUUCCGCUCAGUAUAUGCUGUCUGAAUGCACAGGAGAACCAUGAUGGAUGGUGACAAAGAGCCUGGAGACUUUUUCCCCAUUUGAUGGGUCUUGUGGUGAGCUGGGUCAUGUAUAUGGACCUGGAGAAGAAAGAGGAGGUGGCAUUCAUUUGGAUGAAGAGGAAUUUUGGACAAUGGAUUAUGUCUGGAAAGGCAGGUGUUCUGUUUCACUGAUCAGCUCUCUCCCCAAAGUGCAGUGAAGCAACAAGCAUUAGCUUCAGACUCUUGCGGCAACUUUAUGUACAGUGAAUUUCAUUGCAUAUGUCCCGCUUGCUGAUGCCACCAUGGCAAUAGGUAACACAUGAAUACAAGCCAAGUUUGAUUUAAAAAAAAAAUUGCCUCAGGUUAGGCGGUUGUGUUCAUAUCUAGGUCCCCAAAUAAAUGGCUUGACUUGUA